UUUUGGGUAGGUGGUUUUGGCAGCGCACAAUGAGCCUGAACAGGAAGAAAGAGAUGCUGAGAUUUUGUCGUGAGAGCUAGAGCUCCUGGGACUGAGCCAUAAGGAUGCUCCAAGAGUGGCCAAAACUUCCCAUGAACUUAAAUGCCUCCAGGAAGAGUUUAUGUUCCAAAAACAUCAAAAAUGGCUGAGCUUUGUGUCUUGUUAUAUAAAUAUUGCUGAAAGGAUUCAUUAAGACACCAUAAAAUACUAGGGGAGGAAGGAGAGGAAAAAAAAAAAAAGACCUGGUUUUCCUGAAUAUUCUUUCCAUUGUCAAACAACACAAUUCAGACUAAAUCUGACAUGGUGGGCUGGAUGACUAAAGAGGACAAGUAGCAUUUGCAUAUUUUCAAUCCAGGUGCCUGAUUCAAAUGCUCCACUGAAAGCCAUUGCUCCCGGUGGGUUUUGUAGCAGCCUUCUGGAAAUGGAACUGGGACUUUUGGUGUUAUAGUGUAAUGAUUCUGAAGAUAUUUGGUCAGCCUUCUGAGGUCUGCAGGAGGUAAUCAUUCAAUAACGGUGCUAUCAAUAAUACUUAUGAAAAAUCAAGCUUAAUGGUUGUCGGAUGGUGUUUUAUAACACUAGCAGAUAAAAACAGAAGUGCGUGCUGUGCAGGCUUCUUGAAGAAGGUACUUGAAGAAGGCUUCCAGUAUGGAAGAAGUUGAAAAUGGACAUGAGAGAGAAUAGGAGGAAAUGCAGUAUGGUACUUUCAGAAGUAAUCGGUCAGGAGAUAAUUAUUGCAAACAUAGAUACUUAGUGGGAGGAAACUGCGCAGAAGGCAGAAAUGACUGAAAUGACGUCGAGAUGACAACACAUUUAAAAAUGAGGAAUUGAGGAGUGAGUGACCGGCUGUUUUGCUGAGCUGCUUGCCAGAAGUGCUUAAAGGACUGGCACAGUUACCUCCCAUGAACCUUCUCUUCUAUCAAGUCACAGCUGAGGAUGGUGGGGAGCACAGAAUUGCCUUCCCUCUCCCAGGAACGAGGACCAGGACAUAAAUUGACAGCUUGGGAGGGCUGUGACCACAACCUUAAAUGAAGAGCUCCUCAAGAGGCAAAAAAACAACAUCAAGUGUGCUGUGGGGACAAACAUUGUGAUGCAACUGAAUGUCAUUGAGAGGCAAAAUACGAUAUAUCAGCCCUAAAUAAUGAAUGCAAAUUGUGUUUUUAGGAUCCAAAUGGGAAAGCG
ensembl:lncRNA